rnacentral:lncRNA from 1 species
CUUAAUUGUAAUAAUCGGGUAACAAAUGUUACGCACAUGAAGGAAAUAAAAAUCGAAGAGGUCCGACACAUACUUAAAGAGAGUAGGGCAAUGAAAAGGAGAGAUUACUGAAAUUCAGAAUACAAUAAUUUUCAGCUGUGUGAUGUCAAAAAAUAGUAAUUACAAGAAAUGGAUUCUACAUUUAUCCGAAGUCUUUCUCCACUUGAUGUGUCUACCACUAACUUUGUCUCACUUACAGCAUGGAGAUAUAAUCCUACAAAAUAGAGUAAAACUACAAUUGGCUAAGAAUACGGAGAGAAGAGAAACAAACAAAAUUUCAAUCGUAACACAAGGCAUUGCAACUCAAUGAAAGAUGAAACUCUCCCAAUGAAUUCCAUGCUAACAUAAGCUAAAACUGUAAAAAUCAUAUAGAAAGGGCCAUAUUUGUUUUUAGAAAGAAGAAUAUUACAAUUUUCUCCAGGCCAUUACAUGACAUUUCAUUUUCCCAAAAGAUUGUAGGGGGAAUAGGGCAUUGGUGAAUGAUUCCGUCUCUGAAUCUCUUUCAGAGUUUGAGUUUAAUUUCUUUCACAGUUCAACAAAGAUAUUUUAAAUUCUUUUGAAGCCUAUCUAACUCAAGAAAUGAAAUUCAUAACGUGUUCUCCACAGUGAGUAAUCGAUGUGGUUCAUAGUUUCUUUGUAUCGUAUUCUUUCUUUGGUAUUCAUCUCCUUGAAACUGUUUCCCCACACUUUGGGAACAGCUUCUUCAGAUUCCUAGCACAUUCAAUUAUCAAGUCCAAGGAUCUAUUCUUUAUAACCCUACCACUGGACCCUCAGAAAUAAGAAAAGUCAUGAUUCUUUGUUCUUGAAGACUAUUUAUCAGCACCAAGAACAUGCGCUAAUCUUCUUUCCUUGUUUUAUCUUGCUCUAAACAAUUAAUCUUCCCUUACUCGGCAAGAACAUAUUGUCGUCAAUAAUUUUCUGUCAUUUUCAUCAUCACUCUAUCCUGCCCAUAUUAUCCUACCAGAGCUUUGCAUAAAGUUCACUAAAAAGAUCGUCUUGAAGGUGACAUCAAUUUUAUUACCUCGUAACACUAAUAAAAAUUCAUAAUUAAUAUUUUAAUGACCAAUUAGCAUGGUUCUAUUUUUUUACUCGAGAUAUUAAUAUAAUCUUAUCACACUCUUUCAAUUAAAAGUACAUGUCAAAUAGUUCAGAGAUGCAAAAGAGAGAUCUCCAAAAAAUUUUCAAUGACUAUUAACUCUGCAAUAGAAAUUCUAUGAGCUGAAAGCAUGAAUUGAUGAAGUUACCUACUGAUUCAAAUAAGAGGUGUCAGUUUUGUUGAAAACACCUUUGACAGCCCAAAUAAUCGAACAAACAUCCACUGAAACUCAUAGUACUUAAUUUGGUGCACAAAUUGUUGUCCACUGUUUCUUUAUGUUUUAUAUUCACUCUCAAUUUACAAUUAAGCUUCAACAACUACACUGAUCAGUAUGUAACAUACAUAAAAGCGAACUCCAAUGAAACAUUAAUCAGACUAUUAGCCUAUCAUAAGACCUAAGAUCGCAGUUCAGAAGGGCCAAAAAACAGGUCGAGAUAUAAUUGUAGACCUUAGUAAAAAAAUAGCAACUUCUUUACUGAGGGAGAGAAAGAACUACUAAUUUUCCAUUGAACUUGUAUGAAGAAAAAAGUUAUGGAUUUCUUUUUUUAAGGGUGAAAUGUACUUACACUUUAGCAAUAAAAACUCAUGCCCCACUUGUUCCCCCAAUAAACAGCCCCUAAUCUUGCUAAAAAGAUGAACCUACACAAAAAUACCUGCUCAAAGGAUCCAAGUUCUAGAAUCCAAUAAAUAUUGCUCCUAGAUUUCAACUUCUACCUAAUAUGAAUGUAUUACACGAACCCAAAAGUAACCCAGUUCUAAAUACUUUCUCCUCUCGAGACUCAACAACGAUUUGUCAUUUUCACUUUCUAUACAACUAUAAUGUUGACAAGUGUAACUUCAACCAAUUUCUACGAAAAUUACAUUCACA